UCAUUAUAUUAAUAAUAAUAGUUAUAAUAAUAGUAAUAAUAAUAAUAAUAAUAAUUUUUUAUUUAUUUAUUCGUUCAUUCAUUCAUUCAUUCAUUCAUUCAUUUUCACAUAAAUAACAGAUAUUUCACAGUAUAAAUGCACUGUUGCUUUAUUAUUCAUUAGAUAUCGAUUAGAAAUGUUUAAAUAUGUUUGUUUUAUAUAUUAUAAUCUUGAAAAAGAGAAAAGGUGAUUGAUUGGAAAAUGCACGAAAAAUUUAUUCGCCCGAUAUGAAAAAUAAAAAAUAAAAAAAUAAAAAAAAGAAGGAAAAAAUAAUAAAAAUAUAAAGGAAAAAGAAAAGCAAAAAGAAAUAUUUAAAAAAAAAUCUCUUCGAUUGCUCAAUGCUCGAUGAUAUUCACACGGCACGUUUACUUUAUAAAAAGUCUUUAGCGACUAUUCUUGGGUAAAAUUGACCUCUCUACUAUAACUUUAUAUGAUAUAUAUGUAUAUCAAUUUUCCCGUGUAUAGAGCUUGUAUAAUUUAAGCCGUCCAAUGAAUCACUCGGUGAGAAUAAUUACGAUAAAAUGUCAGAAGUUGGUGCUCUUGCAUUAUCUAAUUAUAAGGGUGAAUCGUUUAUUCGUGCAUUAAUGCCACCACCGCUUUAUGUUCUAUUAUCAUGUGAAAGAGAAAGAGCAAGAGAGAGAGAGAGAGAGAGAAAGAGAAGAGAGAGAGAGAGAGAGAGAGAGAGAGAGAGAAAGAAUGCUUUUAUUAAUGCGUAUGUAUAUGUAUGUAUGUAUGAGUCUGUUAUCUUUUCUUCCUAAAACAGUGAUUGAUUUUCAUGCAAAACAAAGUAUGAUUUCAUAGAAAGUGACACUGUUUUUUCCGUUGUUCUAUUAACACCUUCUCUUUUUCUAUUCGGCACUAUUAUUUUCCUAUAAUCAAUUUCUCUCUGUUUGAUACUCAAUAAUAUAUAUAUAUACAUACAUAAAGUCGCGCACAGUUAUUAAAAUAUUUCGUAUUAUAAUCCGUUGUAUAUCUUUUCGUACAAAACGAAUGAGGAUAAUAGAUAAAAUAAAAAGGAUUAAAAUAUAUUAAAUAGACACACACACACACACAUGCGCGCGCGUAUGCACGCACAUAAGGAAAUCAGUUAAAAUUGUACAAUUGAUUUAAAAUUUAUUUACAAUUUAGAUUUGAUUUAGAAUUGAUUUAGAAUUGAUUUAGAAGUUAGAAUGAUAUUUUAGAUUUUCUCUUCGAUGAUAAAUUUGAUUUAAAAAAAGAAAAAAAAAAAUAUGAAACUGUGCCAAAUCAAAAUGAAAGUAUAUAAAAGGGAAAGAAGGAUAAGAUUUUUGAGGAAAUCGUGAAGGAAUAUAUGAAAAGAUUGAUAUAUAUAUAUAUGUAUAAUUUUUUUUUACGAUUAUACUCUACUCUUUUAUUCUUUUCUCGGAACCCAAUGCGUAUAUGAAUGUGUUCUACGUAUUAAUCGGUAGUACGAGAACGAAGCAUUGAAUCCUAAAAGACUAGUUCCUCGUGUGCGUAUUUUUUAACUCGCAAUACGUGGUCUCUCCACGUGCUGUUUUAUUUAUAAGCCUACGGAAGAUGUAUGUCUAUAUUUUUGAAGUUAACCUUAAAAAAGCGCAUUGGGGUCGGAUUUAAUAUAUACAUAGCCGGAGUAAAAUUUCGAAUUGAAGUGUACAAAAAAGAAAAAAAAAAAAAGAAAAAAAAAAAAGAAAAGAAAAAAUUCAAUAAAAGAUUAACAAAAAAAGAAAAAAGAUAUAUAUAUAUAUCUGAUGAAAACAAAAAAAAAUCGUGAAUAAUUUAUGGUAAAAAGAUGGAUCCAAAAAAGAAAAAAAGAAAAAAGAAAUUGUAUUUUAGGGGAAAAAAAAAAAAAAAAAUUCUAAAUAUUUCCUUGUAAGUUUUUUAAGGGUCCAUAACAACAAACGAGUGAUAUCUAAUUGACAUAGAUGCGAGUAUGUAUGUAUGUAAACGAAUGUUUCAUUCGAAUGCUUUUGAGAGAGAACGUGACAAGAAUAUUUUUUAUGUUAUUUAUUAUUCGAAAGCUAUACAAUCACACGGACGUGCGUACGUACACAUACACACACAAACACAUACAGAUAGAGAGAGAGAGAGAGAGAGAGAGAGAGAGAGAGAGAGAUAAUUCAAGGUAGCUUGGGAAUGUAAUAUACGUAGUUUUUAUCGUUUAAUAACUCGAGUUUGCACGUGUUUCAUUUUUUAUCGAGUAAUUUUCUGUCUUAUGACUCUUGACAUAACCUCUCUUUCCCUCUCUCUCUCUCUCUCUCUCUCUCUCUCUCUCUCUUUCUCUCUUUUCUGUCUAUCUCUCUUUCUCUUUCUUUUUCUCUCUUUUUUUUUCUUCUUCUUUUUGGCUAUGUAUGUGCGUAUGUUUGUGUAUUCUCUCUUCGUCAUAAACGACCUUCAAUCAUUCCGCAAAAAAAAAA